GCGUAUCGAACCCCAAUGAACCAAACAUGCAGAUUCCCCCCCCAAAUGACGUUGUUUUGCGUCUGGGGUGGGUUCCAAAACACUGCCGUUUCAGCUCUCCAAUUAAGCCCUCUUUUUAUUUUUUUUUUGUUCAUUUAUUCCCCCCCCAUUAGAAAAAAUCUGCAGAACCCUCUCAAAGCCUCCCCAUGCCUUCCGACGGUUGGGUUUCACACCGCCGUUUAUCCGUCCAUCGCACCGCCACUAUACCGGCGGCCGACGAAGCGACGAAGGGGCUUUUAGAGCCUAGCCUUCGGGCGAUUUGAAAAGCCGGGUCCUUGAACCCCUAUGAGCGCCGAGACUGAGGCUCAUAGCUCCCCCCUUUCAGAUCCGGGCCAACGACGGAGAACCACACACCGACGGCGCGGUCGCGAGGUAUCUCCGGUGUCAGACGCGUGGACACGCGAAGCCGGCGAUUGGCGAGUAGCGGCGGUGGCAAUGGCAGGCCUAAGGGCGGCCCUAGGUGCGGCGCACCUAGGGUUCUCUUUUCUUUUUCUGCUAUCUUUUUGCUGUUGGUUUUGGGUUUAGUUGGGCUAGGUUUUUAAUUUUUGUUUUGGGCCAUUGUUUUUAUUUUUACUGGGCCAGCGAAUUUGGGCUUCUACACUUCUUAAUAUAUAUUUUUGUUUUAUA